rnacentral:rRNA from 1 species
UACGAAGGGGGCGAGCGUUGUUCGGAAUUACUGGGCGUAAAGGGCGCGUAGGCGGCCGCUCACGUUAGAUGUGAAAGUCCUGGGCUUAACCUGGGGACUGCAUUUGAUACUGAUUGGCUUGAAUUCGGGAGAGGAUAGCGGAAUUCCUAGUGUAGAGGUGAAAUUCGUAGAUAUUGGGAAGAACACCGGUGGCGAAGGCGGCGAUCUGGACCGACAUUGACGCUGAGGCGCGAAAGCGUGGGGAGCAAACAGG